ACCACGCUCCCCGCAAACUGUGAUGCUGCUUUUUCGCCCUAAAAUAAAGGAUUUGAUUUUCUAAAAUAAGGACUUUUUCAAGACUGGACUUUCAUUUAAAACAAGACGUCAUUAAUACUGGGAGACCAACGCCAGAGCUGCCGGAUUUGAAUCAAACGUGAGUGGUCCGAGGACAGAAAAAAAGACGUUCAUUUCAAAAGCAUUGGUAUGCUGGAAAAAAAUGGCUUUAUUGCUUUCCCUGCCUUUUAUUCUCUACGAGGGAGCGUGUUUGGAGCCAAGUACUCUGAAAAAGCUGCCAAGAAGCCUCGAAAAACAUGAAAGCUAAAAGGAAAAUGGUGAGGUACUAAAACGACCUGAAACGCCACUUGCUUUUUGGGGCAAACAGCAGCUGUUGAGAUGAGAGUGCAAACUCCUCCAGUCGUGGGAAUUAUGUGCAACUAAUGCAGCUGAGAUAGGCUCCAGCACCCCCCGCGACCCCGAAAGGGACAAGCGGUAGGAAAUGAAUGGAUAUUGCAGUCUUAUGCAGAGAAAGAUGAAGGUUUAUCUAAACACCUGGAAACAUCCACCGUGAUUACUGGCACAUCAAACAGAAGGAUUUGGACAGAAGCUAGCAGGUGAUGUGAUCCGAAAUGACGUUAAAAAAGGAGAUGGAAAGUGAAGGUGGACCGAGGACGACUUUCUUCCCUAGCAAUUAUCUCAAUUGAGAAAGAGAGACUUUUUAAAACUCAAAGAAAAAGAGGGAAACGGAGGACUUCUCCGACGAAGUCAUAGAGAUCUUCGUCCGUAAGUAAAGGCAAAUGGACUUCGUGUAUAAGUAAAGAUCAACGAACAGCUUUGUCAUCAACACUUUGCAGCUGAUAGACCUUGCAGAAAGAUUUUAAGAUCAAUGGACAGAUUUGACGUCAACACUUGGAGUGGUGGCUGACAGACCUUAUGGAAAGAUUUAAAGAGAGUCUGAAGCACUCAGAGGAUAAAAAUGUGCUGUGAAACAAUUACUGUGUUAUCCAAACACACAAAAACAUCAAUGGGGUGUCGCCAUCCAUCAGGACUUUGCAGGAGGUCAAAGGUCAGUGUCUGGUUUACACGUCCUUCUCUUCAGUUCUAGUCCAGACCGACCGGAGGCCUUCACUGUAGUGAUCCCAGCCUUGACCUGCUGCUCCACACCUGCACUGUGUCAAGGUGUUUACUUGAAGACAUCCUACAACACUCAACACCUACAAUCUUCUUGUCGUCACACAUAAUAAUAAUAAUAAUAAUAAUAAUAAUAAUGAUGGUGAUGAUAACAUUAACAAUAAAAAAUAAUAAUAUUAGUACUAAUAAUAUAUUAAUAAUAAUUCAUUAUGCUAACCUCUAGUUGUCAUCAACUUCUAAUUAUCAGAAGUAAUAUUGAUGGCAAUAUUACUUUGAAUGUUCUUUGCAUCGCUAUCAUACUUUCUUCAUUUCUUCUCUGCUCACAAAAACACAUUAAUACCAUAACUAAUCCAGCAUAAAUUACAGAACUAACCUGCACAAAGCAAACUAUAACCUGCGACCCAAAAAGAAAGAAAGAAGAAAUAUGUAACUUAAAACAUUUGUAUGCACGAACAACACUUAAAAACCUUUAGCAUAUCAGUAUGUGGAAUUAAAUUAAGGAAUGGAUUAAGUAAAGAAUGUAUAAAUAUGAAAGAAUGUAAUAAUAUGAUCCACUGGUGGCUGUUCAAACUACAAGUGUUUACACAAAGAUAUUACGAUAAACGUCAGGGACUUAUUAAAAAUAAAUCAAAUCAAAUCAAAUCAACUUUAUUUAUAGAGCACAUUUAAAAUUUACCACAGGGGUAGCCAAAGUGCUGUACAAUGAGCAGGUUAAAAGAUAAAACGAGUACCGAGCAAACAACACAACACAAACAGAACACGAUAAAAAAUAAAUAAUUAAAAUAGAAUUAAUAAAAACAUAAAAACAUAAAAACAGGAUCACAGCAGGUGUAUUAUGGGGCGCCAUUGCAGGAUGGAUAUCACUCAGUGUUAAAAGCCAUGGAAUAAAAGUAUGUUUUUAAGAGAGAUUUAAAAACAGGAAGAGAGGAGGCUUGUCUAACA